rnacentral:rRNA from 1 species
AAGGGUUAAGAAAAAUUAUUUGGUUAAAAUUAGUUAAAUUGAUUUAUAAAUCAUUUUUAUAUAUUAUUAAUUAAAGGUGAAAUUAAACUUUUAAAAAUUUAAAAAUUAUUAUUAAUAUAUUGAAACUAAUAAAUCUUAAGCAUAAACCAGGAUUAGAUACCCUGUUAUUUUAAGAUCUAAUUUAUAAAACCUGGGUAGUAAACAGUUAUGAGCUUGAAACUCAAAGAAUUUGGCGGUGUCUUAGUCUAGUUAGAGGAGCCUGUUGUAUAAACGAUACACCGCGAAAAAUCUUACUUUUUUAUGUAAAUCAGUUUGUAUACCGUCAUUAUUAGAUGAUUUUUAAUUAAAAACUUAAAUUAUUAAAAUAACUAAAAAUUAAUAUAUUAGAUCAAGGUGCAGCUAAUAAAAAAGAAAUAAUGGGCUACAAUAGUAUAAAACUAAACGAAUAUAAAAAUGAAAUUUUUUAUUGAAGGUGGAUUUAAUUGUAUUAAUAAAUUUAUUACGGUAUUAAGAUAAUAGCUCUAAGAUAUGUACACAUUGCCCGUCGCUCUCAUUCUUAAUGUGAGAUAAGUCGUAACAUAGUAGUUGUACUGGAAAGUGCAUCUAGAUUUA